AGGAUUUGAUUUAGGAUUUAGGAUUUUCUUAGGAUUUGGUUUAGGAUUUGGUUAGGAUUUGAUUCAGAAUUAGGAUUUUAUUUAGGAUUUAUAGUUUGGUUAGGAUUUUGUUAGAAUUUGAUUUAGGAUUUAGGAUUUGAUUUAGGAUUAGAAUUUAGGAUUUCAUAAAGAUUUGGUGUAGGAUUUAGAAUUUGGUUAGGAUUUGAUUUAGGAUUUAGGAUUUUAUUAGGAUUUAUUUAAGAUUUAAGAUUUAACUAGUUUUUGGCAUAAAAAUUGAAUGAAGUCUAAUAGGAUUUUAACUAGGAUUAAAUUAAGAUUGAAUUGAGAUGUAUUUGAGAUAUAUUUGUGAGCAUUUUAAUAUUUCUUUAAGUUUUCUUAUUGUUUCUUUAUAAUUCUUUUGAAUUUUCUUUUGAAUUUGAUUAAAGCUUACUUAGCAUUAUUAUGGUCUAAUUAGAGUUUGAUUAGUAUUCUAUUAGACUUAGGAUUUUGUUGUUGUAAUUUCCAUUCUACCUUCCAAUAUAACCCUCCCUUCUA
rnacentral:lncRNA from 1 species